rnacentral:rRNA from 1 species
CCUACGGGAGGCAGCAGUGGGGAAUAUUGCACAAUGGGGGAAACCCUGAUGCAGCGACGCCGCGUGAGUGAAGAAGUAUUUCGUUAUGUAAAGCUCUAUCAGCAGGGAAGAAAAUGACGGUACCUGACUAAGAAGCCCCGGCUAACUACGUGCCAGCAGCCGCGGUAAUACGUAGGGGGCAAGCGUUAUCCGGAUUUACUGGGUGUAAAGGGAGCGUAGGCGGCUGUGCAAGUCUGGAGUGAAAGGCGGGGGCUCAACCCCCGGACGGCUUUGGAAACUGUACGGCUGGAGUGCAGGAGAGGUAAGUGGAAGUCGUGGUGUAGCAGUGAAAUGCGUAGAUAUUAGGAGGAACACCAGUGGCGAAGGCGGCUUACUGGACAGUAACUGACGUUGAGGCUCGAAAGCGUGGGGAGCAAACAGGAUUAGAUACCCCUGGAGUC